UUUGAGUUAUUUACGUUAUUUUUGUGUUUAUAGGAUUUGUUAUGCAAAGAAAAUAAAAAUAGCACAAAUGAGUUUUAAAUAAUAAACAAAAAAAUCAUGGACCGAUAUUUUCUGACAUAUAUUUUGUAUUUUGUUAUAUAUUUUGUUGUGGUAGGUGGAGAAUAAAUUAAGAGGAGCAGCUGGUGGGAACGUGGUCAAGAAAAACCAAGAAAAGUGGGAAUAACAGCUGCAUUUGCAGCUAGUGGAAGGCUGCUUUGGUGGGUUGGUGAAACAAAUAAGAAACAAAAAGAAUAGAACCACUUGAAUCGUGGUAGGUGGAUAGAAAUAAAAGAAGAAGAAGCAGAAGGCGCGGAAGGGGGGGGAGCUGCCUUUGGCAGCUGAUAGGAAAGAAAAUAAUAGAAGGCUGCCUUUGGGCAGCGUGAACCAGGAGGGGUGGACAGAGU
rnacentral:lncRNA from 1 species